GAGUUUGCUAAGGGAUUUUACAAGUGUGGCUCAAAUGCUAGAACUACUGUCCCUUAGAUAUACAGUAGGAUAUGAUCCUGUCAUGGUGGCUAUGGGCCAAGUUAUACAGUAGGAUAUGAUCCUGUCGUGGAGGCUAUGGGCCAAGUAAUACAGUAGGAUAUGAUCCUGUCGUGGUGGCUUUGGGCCAAGUUAUACAGUAGGAUAUGAUCCUGUCAUGGUGGCUAUGGGCCAAAUUAUACAGUAGGAUCCUGUCAUGGUGGCUAUGGGUCAUGUUAUACAGUAGAAUAUGAUCCUGUCAUGGUGGCUAUGGGCCAAGUUACACAGUAGGAUCCUGUCAUGGUGGCUAUGGGCCAAGUUAUACAGUAGGAUAUGAUCCUGUCAUGGAGGCUAUGAGCCAAGUUAUACAGUAGGAAAUAAUCCUGUCAUGGAGGCUAUGGGCCAAGUUAUACAAUAGGAUAGUAUCCUGUCAUGGAGGCUAUGGGCUAAGUUAUACAGUAGGAUAUGAUCCUGUCAUGGUGACUAUGGGCCAAGUUAUAAAGUAGGAUAAGAUCCUGUCAUGGAGGCUAUGAGCCAAGUUAUACAGUAGGAUAAAAUCCUGUCAUGGAGGCUAUGGGUCAAGCUAAAUAGCGCCGACUCUAUUCCUAUCCAGGCAUUAAUUCUCCUUUGGACAUUAUAAUAUUUUUCACAGACUCUCUUUGAAAUUACUUCUAACUGAAAUACACAGGAAUUGUUUUUAAGCUUUUAUAUCCAACAACCUAUUGUGAUCUGAAACCUCUGAAUGUUUCAUUUUAGAAAUACUGUAUUUGGUGUUGUAUAAUUUAUUAAUGAGCUAUCAGGGAAAUUAUUAACUCUUUACGGCCUUGCGGGCCACGCUAUCGCAUUAAACAUGGGCUGAUGUUCAAUUACCUACCUUGUUAUGCAAAUGGUCUUGUAUUAAGCCACAUACAUUUUCAAAUUAAAGUUGAGAAGCUCCUUUAGGGAGAAUGUGUAAUCGCAAUGUGGAAUAACGA
rnacentral:lncRNA from 13 species